rnacentral:tRNA from 1 species
UCGCCGUUGUCGACCACGGUGAUGGUGAGCGUCGCCUCAUGGGUGGUGUCGUAGUUCAUGCCGGGGAUCUUGUCCCCAUCGGCGGG